AGUGAACGCUGGCGGUAGGCCUAACACAUGCAAGUCGAACGGCAGCACAGUAAGAGCUUGCUCUUACGGGUGGCGAGUGGCGGACGGGUGAGGAAUACAUCGGAAUCUACUUUUUCGUGGGGGAUAACGUAGGGAAACUUACGCUAAUACCGCAUACGACCUACGGGUGAAAGCAGGGGAUCUUCGGACCUUGCGCGAUUGAAUGAGCCGAUGUCGGAUUAGCUAGUUGGCGGGGUAAAGGCCCACCAAGGCGACGAUCCGUAGCUGGUCUGAGAGGAUGAUCAGCCACACUGGAACUGAGACACGGUCCAGACUCCUACGGGAGGCAGCAGUGGGGAAUAUUGGACAAUGGGCGCAAGCCUGAUCCAGACAUACCGCGUGGGUGAAGAAGGCCUUCGGGUUGUAAAGCCCUUUUGUUGGGAAAGAAAAGCAGCAGGUUAAUACCCCGCUGUUCUGACGGUACCAAAAGAAUAAGCACCGGCUAACUUCGUG
rnacentral:rRNA from 1 species